CAAAGACAUAUAAAUGAAAAGUUUUCUUUCUCCUUUGAUCUUGAAAGUUAUUAGCUUAAUUUAUAGGACUAACCUCUUGAAGUGGUAGGUUAUUCACAACCACCCAUGGUACAAAUCUAUGUGCUGGAUAAAGUUCAGAAGUUUCUUCAGCAUACCUCUGUUCAAGCUGCACAUUGUCACAUAGAUGUCAUUUUUUCUUGCUUAUUAUAUGUUUAGCUUUCCUGUUGUGGCUGUAUAAGUUAACUAAUGUUCUCUCCUCUGAGCAGGAUUUACCUGGUUUCCGUAUCCGUUAAUGUAACAAUCAACCGCUGCUCUGCUCAAUCCAACCAUUUCUAAACAAUCAGCCCAUUUUUCAAGUUUGUUCUCCAAGACUAGCUGUUCCGUACAGUAGAUGUAUCCAAAAUGCUUCAUCUGCAAGUGACAUAGGCAGAGCACAUAUAAUUCACAUUAACAGUCAAAGCCUCUAUAUGGCAUGAAUUGCGUUGAGCGCACACUCAGCUUCUCCGUGCUGAAAACAAAGCAACAGUCAAAUGCUAUGUCCUAAUUCUAUGAUGUACAAUGCAAGUGAGACAUAGCAAGAAGAGUCCAAGACCUGGCAGAGAAUGGUUCCAUCUGGUCUGAUAGCGGCGUUGCCCCAUGGAACGAGCUGGAGAUCAAUGGAUGAGAUUAAGCCGGUUUCGAAGAUCUUAGGCAAGCGGUUGACGAUGAAUUCUGCACAGAAGGGGCAUAGAGCUUCGUAGUAUAAACUUAGUGUAACUUUCUGGCUUGAAGACAGAGAUAAGAGGCAGAAGAAGAUUGUGCAACUUGUGAUGCAAAGCCUCUGAUAUGAUGCCAUUGGUGGAAACAAGAAGAAGAGGAAGAUUGCAGAGAAUUGUUUUUGACUCUUGCUUUAUUCUUGUGUCUCAUUAAACAAGGAAAGUAAGACAUAAAACUGUUUCUUAUUACUUUCAGUGAUUCGUUGAUGCUUUAUUAUUGUUUAAAGGCAUCUUGGGCGUUUUGGCGUUGAAACAAUUGUU
rnacentral:lncRNA from 1 species